rnacentral:rRNA from 1 species
GAUGAACGCUGACAGAAUGCUUAACACAUGCAAGUCAAGUGGCGGACGGGUGAGUAACGCGUAAAGAACUUGCCUCACGGAUAGGGACAACAUUUGGAAACGAAUGCUAAUACCUGAUACUGUGAGAGAGCUUUUCGUCCCAUUAGCUAGUUGGAGAGGUAACGGCUCACCAAGGAGAUGAUGGGUAGCCGGCCUGAGAGGGUGAUCGUCCACAAGGGGACGGAGACACGGCCCUUACUCCGACGGGAGGCAGCAGUGGGGAAGAUGGCGCAAUGGGGGCACCCUGACGCAGCCAUGCCGCGUGUCUGAAGAAGGCUUCGGGUUGUAAAGGACUUUUGUUAGGGAAGCUACGACUAAAGAAUAAGCACCGGCUAACUACGUGCCAGCAGCCGCGGUAAUAC